UUUACUCAGGGAGGAAAGAAAAGCAACUGCGAUUGCUUCAGUAAUGGCGAAUGAACUGGCAACACAGGCUCAGCCUGAAUGGAAUCCAGCUGCAACAGUGUUGCACCCGGCUCAUGUGAGAUUCAGCAGAUGCUGUGGGUUGAUGGAGCAGGUAGUGAGUCUGGUCAGGCCAUGCACCAAAGAAAGUCCCUGGAAUGGGCUACUACAGAAGGAUACUGUCCUGUAUGGUGCUGAGUGCUGUGGCUUGGCUGGGCUUUGCUGCUUGCAUCCAAGAGUAGAGUUGCUUGGGACUGCAGUUUGAAGUGCAGGGUGUAUCCUCUGCAAGGCAGAAUACUGACAUGGAACCGAUAGCGCACAAGUAGAGUGAUUGAAGGAUGCAAAGCACCUUGCAAAGGGGGUUCAACGUCCCUGAAGCCUCAGCAGGAACAGCGGAGAGUGAUGUUGUGGUUAUCUGGUCGCCAUCAGGCAGUGCUGCCCAGUCUGGCUAGGUCUGGUUGCCACCAGCUGGCUCACUGUCCUGAGACCAGGGUCCAUUGGACCAAACAUUGGAAUCCAAGCAACCUUGGGCUGGCCCAGAGCUGGCUACUGAGCUCCAUCCCAGAUGUUGGAAUGCAUCGUGGCAGUUUGUGGUGACACUCAGCUUGCCUGAGCCUGAGGGCAACAGAUCAGAGAUAUCACUGUUURAAUUGAAGCAAUCUCCAAGAGGAGACAGUUGUUGAGAGCUAUGCCAACCCUGCUGUGUCCAAGGACAUGGCAGUGCAUUGUGCCUYGAAUGUUGAAGCUAGGCCAUGCCGCCUGUUGACCUGCACCAUCCUGAUGGUGGUUCACUGGUGGUGGAAGCUUUGCAGAGAGAGUGCDGGCAGAUGGCAGUUGAGCUUGGUCUCAGGAUCMCUYUUUBCCKU
rnacentral:rRNA from 1 species